rnacentral:rRNA from 1 species
UACGGAGGGUGCGAGCGUUGUCCGGAAUCACUGGGCGUAAAGGGCGCGUAGGCGGCUCGGUAAGUAGGAGGUGAAAUCCUGAGGCUCAACCUCAGGGCUGCCUUCUAAACUGCCAGGCUUGAGCACAGUAGAGGCGGGUGGAAUUCCCGGUGUAGCGGUGGAAUGCGUAGAGAAUCGGGAAGAACAUCGGUGGCGAAGGCGGCCUGCUGGGCUGUUGCUGACGCUGAGGCGCGACAGCGUGGGGAGCAAACAGG